GGCUGGCAUUGUCAAAGAAGGAAAUUGCCAGAAAGAAAUGUAACCCUCUAAGUACAGUAACGUAAACCAGAAGAAUGUGAUUCUGAUGACACUCUUAUCCCAUCCUGUGAACAAACGUUCGGGAGAAGUGAAAGAACCCCAUGGGAUAAAAGGCCCCCUUCUCCAUCAUGAAAAUGUAUCAGUUAAGAAAGUGCCUGCAUCUGGAGUCCUCUGAGCCCCCCACAGAUACAAGUCGAGGGCCGACUUUCCUGUUUGUCCUUUUCUUCCCAUGGAAACAGAAUCCACAGUGGAGCAAAGAUGGUCCUGGAUGCCUUAAGAGGGAAACGUUGAACACCACAUAAAUAAAGGUUGACUUGGUGCAGAAGUGUACAGUGCCAUGUCCCUGCAUCUUCAUGGAGAAAUGUAUUCUUUCCACAUGAGAAGCAACACCGUCCAUGCAGCAAACUGUGACUCCGUCCCACACAGUGCAUAUAAAACUGCAGCCCGGAGCCUCAAGCUCACCUCCGAGAAGCAGGAGCAGAGGCAGUGCCACACGCGCGCGCCAUGGCCUUCCAGGAGAAGUACUGAAGCCUUUCAGCUGCCUUGACUCUGUGCCUUUCACACCAGGCCUCAUCCAGGACCCCAGAGAUAGGAUCGGGUGUAAGAGCAUUAGGUUGCAUGAAAAUAGGGCACCGCUUUUAGAUGGCGCUCCCCUGAGACGUUGGGAGAGGCGACAGGAAAUGGCGAACUUGGGGGCAGAAGGGAACUGGUGGAUUGAAGCUAGUUGGCCGGUCUGUGGCUUAAUGAUCUGCUGUGACAGACAAAGGGAGACUAGGGCAUGGUUAUAUAUUUUAAGCUAUCAGGUCAAAUGGAAAAAUCAGAAAAGGCAAGGAGUGAGCUUUUAACCAGUAUUUCUUGUCUGCCUGUGGAUGGGGGUGGACACAUCGGUCAGCAAAGUGGUAAAAAGAUAGGGCCUCUUCCUUCUCACAUCCAUGAAGGUCAGUUUCAGUGCUUUCUUGUGUUGGAAAGGGAAGAAUCUUGAAUUAAAUUACACGGCCUUAUAUUUUAGGACGAUCUCGAAUUCAA